ACGGAAGGCAGCAGUGGGGAAUAUUGGGCAAUGGGCGCAAGCCUGACCCAGCGACGCCGCGUGAGGGAAGACGGUCUUCGGAUUGUAAACCUUUGUUGACAGGGGCGAAGAAGAUGACGGUACCUGUCGAGGAAGCCACGGCUAACUACGUGCCAGCAGCCGCGGUAAUACGUAGGUGGCGAGCGUUAUCCGGAUUUACUGGGUGUAAAGGGUGUGUAGGCGGGAAAGCAAGUCGGAUGUGAAAAUUAUGGGCUUAACUCAUAACCUGCGUCCGAAACUACAAUUCUUGAGAGUCGGAGGGGUAAAUGGAAUUCCUGGUGUAGCGGUGAAAUGCGUAGAUAUCAGGAGGAACACCGGUGGCGAAGGCGGCUUACUGGCCUGUAACUGACACUGAGGCACGAAAGUGUGGGGAGCAAACAGGAUUAGAUACCCUGGUA
rnacentral:rRNA from 1 species